rnacentral:rRNA from 1 species
UGGGUAACCUGCCUCAAAGAGGGGAAUAGCCUCCCGAAAGGGAGAUUAAUACCGCAUAAUAUGUUUAAGUCGCAUGACUUUAACAUCAAAGGAUUUUCUUUUAGAACUUCCACUUUGAGAUGGACCCGCGGCGCAUUAGCUAGUUGGUGAGGUAACGGCUCACCAAGGCAACGAUGCGUAGCCGACCUGAGAGGGUGAUCGGCCAACAUUGGAACUGAGACACGGUCCAGACUCCGUAGGGNGG